rnacentral:rRNA from 1 species
UACAGAGGUCUCAAGCGUUGUUCGGAUUUAUUGGGCGUAAAGGGCGCGUAGGCGGCGGGGUAAGUCGGGUGUGAAAUCUCAGGGCUCAACCCUGAAACUGCACUUGAUACUGCUCUGCUUGAGGACUGGAGAGGAGACUGGAAUUCACGGUGUAGCAGUGAAAUGCGUAGAUAUCGUGAGGAAGACCAGUGGCGAAGGCGGGUCUCUGGACAGUUCCUGACGCUGAGGCGCGAAGGCCAGGGGAGCCAAAGCGGG